GGGCAGUUAGCUCAGUUGGUAGAGCGCCUGCCUUACAAGCAGGAUGUCACUGGUUCGAGUCCAGUACCGCCCA
rfam:Scytonema tolypothrichoides VB-61278 scaffold_0, whole genome shotgun sequence.